rnacentral:rRNA from 1 species
UGGGGAAUAUUGCACAAUGGGCGCAAGCCUGAUGCAGCCAUGCCGCGUGUAUGAAGAAGGCUUUCGGGUUGUAAAGUACUUUCAGUCGGGAGGAAGGUGGUAAGGUUAAUAACCUUAUCAAUUGACGUUACCGACAGAAGAAGCACCGGCUAACUCCGUGCCAGCAGCCGCGGUAAUACGGAGGGUGCAAGCGUUAAUCGGAAUUACUGGGCGUAAAGCGCACGCAGGCGGUUGAUUGAGUCAGAUGUGAAAUCCCCGGGCUUAACCCGGGAAUUGCAUCUGAUACUGGUCAGCUAGAGUCUUGUAGAGAGGGGUAGAAUUCCAUGUGUAGCGGUGAAAUGCGUAGAGAUGUGGAGGAAUACCGGUGGCGAAGGCGGCCCCCUGAACAAAGACUGACGCACAGGUGCGAAAGCGUGGGGAGCAAACAGG